UUCCCGUGCCGCCGCGCCCCCGCGCCCCGCCAUGCCGCUCUACUCCGUUACUGUGAAAUGGGGAAAGGAGAAAUUUGAAGGCGUAGAACUGAAUACUGAUGAACCUCCAAUGGUGUUCAAGGCUCAGCUUUUUGCACUGACUGGAGUCCAGCCGGCCAGACAGAAAGUUAUGGUGAAAGGAGGAACACUGAAGGACGAUGAUUGGGGGACAUCAAAAUGAAAACUGGAAUGACUGUACUAAUGAUGGGGUCAGCAGAUGCUCUUCCUGAGGAACCCUCAGCUAAAACUGUCUUUGUAGAAGACAUGACAGAAGAACAGUUAGCAUCUGCUAUGGAAUUACCACGUGGAUUGACAAAGCUUGGUAAUACUUGUUACAUGAAUGCUACAGUUCAGUGUAUUCGUUCUGUGCCUGAACUCAAAGAUGCCCUUAAAAGGUAUGCAGGCGCCUUGAGAGCUUCAGGAGAAAUGGCGUCAGCACAGUAUAUUACUGCAGCCCUUAGAGAUUUAUUUGAUUCCAUGGAUAAAACUUCUGCUAGUAUUCCACCGAUUAUUUUACUGCAGUUUUUGCACAUGGCUUUUCCGCAGUUUGCAGAGAAGGGCGAACAAGAACAGUAUCUUCAGCAGGAUGCUAAUGAGUGUUGGGUACAAAUGAUGCGAAUAUUACAGCAGAAAUUGGAAGCUAUAGAAGAUGAUACUGUUAAAGAGACAGAUUCUUCAUCUGCAUCAGCAGUGACACCUUCUAAAAAGAAAAGUUUAAUUGAUCAGUUCUUUGGAGUUGAAUUUGAGACAACCAUGAAAUGUACAGAAUCUGAAGAAGAAGAAGUCACUAACGGAAAGGAAAGUCAGCUUCAGCUUAGCUGUUUCAUCAAUCAAGAAGUCAAGUAUCUUUUUACAGGACUUAAGCUGCGACUUCAGGAAGAAAUCACCAAACAGUCUCCAACAUUGCAAAGAAAUGCUUUGUACAUCAAAUCGUCCAAGAUCAGCCGGUUACCUGCUUACUUAACUAUUCAGAUGGUUCGAGUUUUUUACAAAGAGAAGGAAUCUGUGAAUGUUAAAGUUCUUAAGGAUGUGAAAUUUCCUCUUACGUUGGAUGUGUAUGAACUAUAUACACCAGAACUUCAAGAGAAAAUGGUUUCUUUUCGAUCAAAAUUCAAGGAUCUAGAGGAUAAAAAAGUAAAUCAGCAGCCAAAGACAGGUGACAAAAACAGUAGUCCUCAAAAAGAAGUAUGAACCCUUUUCUUUUGCUGAUGACAUUGGCUCCAAUAAUUGCGGAUACUAUGAUUUACAAGCAGUGCUAACACAUCAGGGAAGGUCUAGCUCUUCAGGCCAUUAUGUAUCAUGGGUGAAAAGGAAACAAGAUGAGUGGAUCAAGUUCGAUGACGAUAAGGUCAGCAUCAUGACACCAGAGGACAUCCUACGACUCUCUGGCGGUGGCGACUGGCACAUAGCUUAUGUCCUCCUCUAUGGGCCUGGCAGAGUGGAAAUCAUGGAAGAGGAAAGUGAACAGUAAUCUUCAUUUUAGCUAUUUAUGCUUAGGUGUGAAAUAAAUGUUAUUUGUUGAUCAUUUCUAUAACCCAGAGCUUUGUUUAGGUGGUUUUAUGUGUUUCCCCUCAUGUGGAACAAGAGAGGGCAGAAGCAGACCACUCUGUGUUACUGACCUAAGAAAUUACAGAAAA